GACAAUGGAGGCAACUCUGAUCCAGCCAUGCCGCGUGCAGGAAGACGGCCCUAUGGGUUGUAAACUGCUUUUAUACAGGAAGAAACGCCUCCUCGUGAGGGGGUUUGACGGUACUGUACGAAUAAGGAUCGGCUAACUCCGUGCCAGCAGCCGCGGUAAUACGGAGGAUCCAAGCGUUAUCCGGAUUCAUUGGGUUUAAAGGGUCCGUAGGCGGAUGAUUAAGUCAGGGGUGAAAGUUUGCAGCUCAACUGUAAAAUUGCCUUUGAUACUGGUUAUCUUGAGUUGUAUUGAAGUAGGCGGAAUAUGUAGUGUAGCGGUGAAAUGCAUAGAUAUUACAUAGAACACCAAUUGCGAAGGCAGCUUACUAAGUACUAACUGACGCUGAUGGACGAAAGCGUGGGUAGCGAACAGGAUUAGAUACCCUGGUAGUCCACGCCGUAAACGAUGGAUACUAGCUGUUCGGGACCUUGAGUUCUGAGCGGCUAAGCGAAAGUGAUAAGUAUCCCACCUGGGGAGUACGUUCGCAAGAAUGAAACUCAAAGGAAUUGACGGGGGCCCGCACAAGCGGUGGAGCAUGUGGUUUAAUUCGAUGAUACGCGAGGAACCUUACC
rnacentral:rRNA from 1 species